CUGAUCUGAACUAUAUUUAAAAUAAUUUUAGCAGUAGCAAGAAAAACCACAACCGCGCGCGUUUAAGUUUCCCGCUCGUUCCCAGCAAAAUUCCAAUUU